rnacentral:rRNA from 1 species
UACAGAGGGUGCAAGCGUUAAUCGGAGUUACUGGGCGUAAAGGGCGCGUAGGCGGUCAUGCAAGUGAGAUGUGAAAUCCCCGGGCUUAACCUGGGAACUGCAUUUUAGACUGUGUGACUGGAGUACUGUAGAGGACAGUGGGAUUUCCGGUGUAGCGGUGAAAUGCGUAGAGAUCGGAAGGAACACCAGUGGCGAAGGCGACUGUCUGGCCAGAUACUGACGCUGAGGCGCGAAAGCGUGGGGAGCAAACAGG